rnacentral:lncRNA from 1 species
GCGGUGACUUCAUAUUCAUCAGGAAUAGGUAUAAUCUAUUCUGUGCACAGUUGAUUUAGGGCAGAAAUAAAAGCUCAGACAACAAAGCAAGGCUCCUCUUACACACUACUAUGUCUGAAUACAAAUGGUUCAUAAUUGAAGGCUAAACUUCCUCAUCUCACCCACAGCCAGCUGCAAGGGCAAACAUGGACACUCUGUUGCAUCAUAUAGAAACUGCUGGGCAUGCAGGAGUGUGGAAGACAAAAGGCUGGCAAUGUGUCAGGCUCUGUGGGGCAGGGUCAACUGCAAUGAGUGCUUAUAUGCGAGGCGAGUGUUUAGCACGGGGAGAAGGGCCCAUCGCACUGCAGGAAGCCUUCUCCCUGAGACUCGGGGCAAUGCCUUGGGAGAGUAUGGGGUGGUACUUCCUAUUAAAAUGUGGCAUAGAAGGGGUUAUUUGCGGAUGUUCUCGUCUUCUGCAGCUUUGAGGCUGAGAUCUCAAGGCCUUGGGCAGACUGGAAUCUUUUCAAUUCCACAGAAGUGCUGUUGGCGAAGAAAGAACAUUCGUUUGGUGUUGCUCUCCUUGCUUUUCACUCUUUUCCCCUCGCUUUUCUGAUUGAUUCGCUUUUACUAGCUCUUGCUUGCUCUGAAAUCUCCGGAAAAGCCAGGUUUUGAUUCCUUAUGUUUCUCUAGUUCUCCCCUUUUCCUUCCUAUUACCACCUUCCUUUUUCACAGGAGCCAGAGAGGUGGUCUCUGCGUGCUUCCCACACCACAUUGACAAGGAAAGGGAGGGACAUUCCAAGGCUGGAAGCCCUGCCAGGACUGGGUGCAUUAUAAGGUGGUGACUGACUGUGGUGAAAGUCCCUUCGAUGUCCUACGGAUUCUCCCAUGUGACUGACGCGAGAUGCGUGGCUCUAUUCAUUUUAAUUACAUUUAGAAUCAGUAUUUAUAUCUUGAAAUGAGUCUUCUUCCUCCAAGCCUUUGCCGGCACACUGUUUUUCAUCUUGGCAUUCUCCCAGAUUUAAAAAAUUGACCUGAGAUGGACACAGGGGUGGAAGAGGUUUUGGUGCCCUGUGUCUUUCUCUCUACUGAUAAGACUUUUGCUUCUAAAGAGAGACUGGCCCCACUAACAGCAAUGAUAUUGGCACUGCACAUUAUUCAGAAGCUACGGGGGGCAGGAAUGGUUUAUAGCUAUGGACAUUAACUUUGAAUAAUGUGUAUUCUUAGUAAAACCUCUAAGAUUAAAAAAAUUAAAAUGUUUGCUUAAGUAACGAGAUUCAUUGGCUGACUCUAUUGGGAUGUGAUUCACAAGUCAAUUCAUGCUGGGGCAUCUGUCAAAGAAGAGAACCCUAGAAAAGUAGCCUGUCACCCUUAUUUCUGGGGAAUAAGAGGCAAGCUAUUAAGGCCAUUUCUCAAAACUAAACAGCCAUCCUCACAACAAUGACAGCAGCCAUCCCACCCUCUGCGAUGACAUACAAAUAUGGAAAAAUGUUAUGUGCAGAUUCUCUAAAUUAAAAAUGAGGAGGGACAAAGGGGAACACACAUUCAGUUCAGUCAAAGACAACUUCAAAUGAAGAAGUUACUGCUAUUUUUCUGCACUGAAAAUUGAUUUCUGGUUCACCAAGAGACCAGCCUGAUUCUAAGUGUGGUCUCAGUAUUGGGGUCUCUACAAGCAUCACUAGCCAGCUCAUUCCUGCCCACUGAGCCCAAGGACCAGGGUAAAUCAAUAAAAAGUACAAAUAAUCUUAGGUUGGUACAGAUUCUCUGCAUGGCAUCAAAAAGUAUGAUGAACAGGGACUAUUACAGAAUAGCUGCCUGGAAAUAUACCCACUAUUCAGGGCUGCAAUUUAUCAAUUAAGAACACAACUUUUAUUUUGGACAGAAUGUCUAAGAAGCUAAUGGGUGUUAAUUUGGAGGAGCAAAGCCUUUGUUUUGUAAAGUACAGGACGGACAGCACUCUGGAUUUAAUCACAGUCCACCAUUAUGGUGGGCCCCAAAAGUCUCGGAGGCAGCAAAUCUCUGAAUAUUUUGUUUAGCUUCAGCAUUGAAUCAACUCUAUAAAAUGAGGGGAUAUUUGACUUAGCUG